UGAUAGGAAUAAUUAUUUAAAAUUAUAGUACUUGAGCAUGCCAGUGGAUGCACCUAGCUUGAAUUGCACAUCAUCAAAGUGUUGGGUCAUGAUUUUUAUGAUUUUAUUUUCCCAUCCAAAGUGAUGUUGCCGCCCUUAGUGCCUGCCCAAUGCUUAUCUUGUAAUUGUUUUUCCUUUUACUUCCAGGGCUUUAUUUAAGAGUGCGGCAACUCUACAAAGAAGGGAGACUCAGUUGGUGGACCCAUAGAGGACUUGGUGGGGAUUGGUUGGGUCUCAAGAUCCACAACUUCCGAAGUAUCAAAUAAUUACAUCUCCA